GCCAAAAGCCCUACUUUAAGCCAAUCGGCCACACACUGCGUUCCACUUUUCUCAACACCAUUGUACGUUUCAAAGCAAUGUGCCAUCAAUGUGUUAAACAUCUGACCACCCUCAUAAGCCUGUUCAAGUAUGAGCCCUACACCAGCACAAAUGAGUCUGCCUUGCCACGUAACAUAAAAAGCAGUUGCGAGUCCUGACAAUAGGAUAAUUAUUAAAGUCCCAACUAUUAAAGGGGACAUGUUUGAAAUUAAAGCAAUCAAUCCUGUUGUAGAUAUGGUGUGGAGUUUGGGAGAAGAGCAGAUGAAAUACUGUUUUUUGACCGGGAAAUGGACGAUCAAUGCUGCAGAAAACAGCUUGAAAUUAUAGGAAU